AUGAUUUUCCAUUUGUUUUUAUCAUUAGUUCUGAACAGAUUACACACCCAAAAGAAACACAAAGCCACCGAGUCAAAACAAACACAAACUCCCGAUCCGAGUCACUUCUUUCCAACUAAUCAAAACCCUUCAUUUUAAUCUCCACCAAUCAGAAUAAAGCACACGGAUCCACUAUUUCUCAUUCAAAAGUCGUUGCGAACUCAACUUCCACGCAUAUAUAUAACCAGGUAUUAUUUACCUGAUUAGCCUUUUCGCAAUCUGAAACCCUAGUUCCCAAAUCCAUCUAUUCUCACCUUUUCCAAUUUGUUACUUUGAUUCGCAAUGGCUCGUACGAAGUAGACCGCUCGUAAGUCCACCGGUGGAAAGGCUCAAAGGAAGCAACUUGCUACCAAGGAAAUCUGCUCCAACAACCGGAGGAGUGAAGAAGCCUCAUCGUUAUCGUUCUGGAACUGUCGCACUACGGUGAAUUGGCCAAACAUGUUGUUUCUGAGGGUACUAAGGCUGUUACCAAGUUUACUAGCGCUUAGAGGAGAUUGGUUUGUUGGGUUAGGUUUUGCUUGGUUUAUGUAACUGGAUUUUGGUAAUUUGAUGUAAAGCUAGUUAAUGUUCAUUUAUUAGUUUGACGUAAAUGAAAGGAAGAAUAGAAUUGUUCUCAGAUAAUCCGCCAUAAAAUGUUCUUUAAUGUUGAAAUUAGGUGUAUGGUUUUUGUGUAGUUUGGAUUUUAUUGUGUUAUUUGAAU
rnacentral:lncRNA from 1 species